UCUCUGAUAGUAUAUCGGUUAGUACACGCGCCUGUCAUCGGGAACAAAUAUACAUAUCUAUCCGCGCGAAAGCUGGGUUCGACUCCCAGUCAGAGAG